GAUGAACGCUGGCGGCGUGCCUAAUACAUGCAAGUCGAGCGAAAAGACGAGGCGCUUGCUCCUCUGACGUUAGCGGCGGACGGGUGAGUAACACGUGGAUAACCUACCUAUAAGACUGGGGUAACUUCAGGAAACCGGAGCUAAUACCGGAUAAUAUAUUGAACCGCAUGGUUCAAUAGUGAAAGACGGUUUUGCUGUCACUUAUAGAUGGAUCCGCGCCGCAUUAGCUAGUUGGUAAGGUAACGGCUUACCAAGGCAACGAUGGGUAGCCGACCUGAGAGGGUGAACGGCCACACUGGAACUGGGACACGGUCCAGACACCUACGGGAGGCAGCAGUAGGGAAUGUUCCGCGAAGGGCGGAAGCUUGACGGAGCAACGCCGCGUGAGUGAUGAAGGUCUUCGGAUCGUAAAACUCUGUUAUGAGGGAAGAACAAAUGCGUAAGUAACUAUGCACGUCUUGACGGUACCUAAUCAGAAAGCCACGGCUAACUACGUG
rnacentral:rRNA from 1 species